CGUUCAGGGGUAAACCUGAGAAGCCCGAAAGUUCGAAUGGAGAGAUUCAGCGCGUUUCCGGCGUGGCGAGUCGUGGUGUUGCGACGGGUGCACUUGUGCGCUCGCGCUCGCUGCGUCCGAAUCCGUGUCGGAACGCGUGCACUUCUCUCCUAGUAGGACGUCGUGACCCGUUGGGUGUCUAUCUAAGGCCCGCGGUGGAGCCCGCUUCGAUUUAUCGUGGCGGACCCGCGGUGUCCCGAUUGACUCGCCCGACGGUUUAAUUAAGGCGCUGGACCGCGACCUGUUCGCGUUCGGAGCGUCGCAAGCACGGACGGUUAUCUGGCUGUCGGACCUAGUGCCGGCUCUGGAGCCGCUCGACUGUUGGCGGCGUCUUUCUCGAACCGCGUCCAAUGCGCGCCGGUCGACGACGCUAUUGCUUUGGGUACUUUCAGGACCCGUCUUGAAACACGGACCAAGGAGUCUAGCAUGUGCGCGAGUUACUGGGACUCGAUAAACCUAAAAGCACAAUGAAAGUAAAGGCACGCCUUGCGCGUGCCUAGGGAGGAUGGAUCGUGUCACGACACGGUCCCGCACUCCCGAGGCGUCUCGUGCUCAUUGCGAGCUGAGGCGCACUCAGAGCGUACACGCUGGGACCCGAAAGAUGGUGAACUAA
rnacentral:rRNA from 1 species